GCGGUCCCUCUGUAAACCAUUCUGCAUCCCCCGGCUGGGGAGAGUGCCGGGAGACCGCGUUUAGAGGAUCAGUGGCGGCGGCAACCGCGGCCCGGCGCGGUGCGGGCGGCGGGCAGCGAGGUGCCCGGGUCCCCUGCUGCUCCGCUCUCAGUCUGGGGCACGGCUUUGAAGGAAGGUUGCUAAGCCUGCUAAGUCCUAAUGCACACCAACAUCGUCUCCCUAUUCAUCCGGAAACCUGGCCUCACUUCUCCAGGAGCCUUCCCAGGCCCCCGCCCUGUCCUCACUUUACUACAGAAGGAGUUACCUUCACUUUUGCACCAUGAGUGUGUCUCCACUGUUGAAUUUACACUCUGGCAACUUAUUGGCACUGUGUCUGUCUGCACGACUGCACUGUGAACUAUUCCUCUCUUCCUGGCGACCUG